rnacentral:rRNA from 1 species
GUAGGGAAUAUUGGGCAAUGGAUGCAAGUCUGACCCAGCCAUCCCGCGUGCCGGAAGAAGGCCCUCAGGGUUGUAAACGGCUUUUGACGGUGAAGAACCGACAGGAUGCGUCCUGUUUUGACGGUAGCCGUUGAAUAAGCACCGGCUAACUCCGUGCCAGCCGCCGCGGUAAUACGGAGGGUGCGAGCGUUGUCCGGAUUUAUUGGGUUUAAAGGGUGCGUAGGCUGGAAGGUCAGUCAGCGGUGAAAAGCUAUCGCUUAACGAUAGUCUUGCCGCAGAUACUUCCGUUCUUGGAUGAGGAGGAGGCCACUGGAACGGAUGGUGUAGCGGUGAAAUGCAUAGAUAUCAUCCAGAACACCGAUUGCGAAGGCAGGUGGCUGUACCUUAAUCGACGCUGAUGCACGAAAGCAUGGGGAGCAAACAGGAUUAGAAACCCCUGUAGUCC